GACGUAGGGCGCGAGCGUUGUCCGGAUUUAUUGGGCGUAAAGAGCUCGUAGGCGGCUGGUCGCGUCGACUGUGAAAACCCGCGGCUCAACUGCGGGCCUGCAGCCGAUACGGGCAGGCUAGAGUUCGGUAGGGGAGACUGGAAUUCCUGGUGUAGCGGUGAAAUGCGCAGAUAUCAGGAGGAACACCGAUGGCGAAGGCAGGUCUCUGGGCCGAUACUGACGCUGAGGAACGAAAGCGUGGGGAGCGAACAGG
rnacentral:rRNA from 1 species